UACAGAGGUCCCAAGCGUUGUUCGGAUUCACUGGGCGUAAGGGUGCGUAGGCGGUUUGGUAAGUCUUAUGUGAAAUCUACAGGCUCAACUUGUAGUCUGCAUGAGAAACUGCCGGGCUUGAGUAUGGGAGAGGUGAGUGGAAUUCUUGGUGUAGCGGUGAAAUGCGUAGAUAUCAGGAGGAACACCUGUGGCGAAAGCGGCUCACUGGACCAUAACUGACGCUGAUGCACGAAAGCUAGGGGAGCAAACAGG
rnacentral:rRNA from 1 species